rnacentral:rRNA from 1 species
AGCGGUAACAGGGGAAGCUUGCUUCCCGCUGACGAGCGGCGGACGGGUGAGUAAUGCUUAGGAAUCUGCCCAGUAGUGGGGGAUAGCCCGGGGAAACCCGGAUUAAUACCGCAUACGUCCUACGGGAGAAAGCAGGGGAUCUUCGGACCUUGCGCUAUUGGAUGAGCCUAAGUCGGAUUAGCUAGUUGGUGGGGUAAAGGCCUACCAAGGCGACGAUCCGUAGCUGGUCUGAGAGGGAUGAUCAGCCACAUCGGGACUGAGACACGGCCCGAACUCCUACGGGAGGCAGCAGUGGGGAAUAUUGGACAAUGGGGGCAACCCUGAUCCAGCCAUGCCGCGUGUGUGAAGAAGGCUUUCGGGUUGUAAAGCACUUUCAGUAGGGAGGAAAACCUUAUGGUUAAUACCCAUGAGGCUUGACGUUACCUACAGAAGAAGCACCGGCUAACUCCGUGCCAGCAGCCGCGGUAAUACGGAGGGUGCAAGCGUUAAUCAGAAUUACUGGGCGUAAAGCGCGCGUAGGUGGUUUGGUAAGCGAGAUGUGAAAGCCCCGGGCUUAACCUGGGAACGGCAUUUCGAACUGUCAGACUAGAGUGUGGUAGAG